CUGAGAUGAUCUCUGUCUUCUGUUGUAGAUCAGACUGAUUCAGUCACUUACAUUAAUGACUGACUGUCUUUUACUCUCCUCUAGUCUCAGUGUCUCUGGUUGUACCGAUCUCUGCUGCUGUUGCUGGAUCUCUGUUAAUUGUUGCUGCAGUCGUGAUCUUCUGCAUCUGCAGGAAAUCCCGGACACAGGAGAAAGACAAGACCGAUUCAGCACUGUGCAAAUCAACAACUCGCAAAAAGAAACGUCUUGUAAAACCUGCUUCACCCUGAAGCUAAGUUUGAAGCUAAAAUAUAUUAUUAUAACUUUUAAAAGAAUGCUUAAACUGUUGCUCUUGAUUGACUGUUUAUUUUUCCUUGCAGAAAUUAAAAAAGGAGGCUGUGUAUGAAAAUUUUGCCCCAAAAAGGUGAUCAAAUACUGGGAUCUACUGGAAUAAACCAUGAAAUGUUAUAGAGCUCUUAUAGACCCUGACUAGUUUAUAGCCCUGACAUUUAUUCUGGAUGUUUUUUAUUUUAUUUAUUUUUUUAAUAAAAAUGUUAUGUUAUGCCUGAAAUGUUGCUGCUUUAUGUACUAGUUUAAUGUAUUCAGAAACCCAACUAAAUGUGAUAUUUUUAUCUUAACAAGCAUGGAACUUUAGCCUGUGAAAUCCUGAACCCACCCUUCGCUG